GCUGGGAUAGCUCAGUGGGUAGAGCAAGAGACUCUUAAUCUCAGGGUCAUUGGUUCAAGACCCAUGUUCCUGUA